GUUUUGUUCAACCUGGCGUCAUGAAGAGCUUCAGCUCUUUCUAAAGAACGUCGGUCUGAAGCUCUUCGUGAUGUUAGUUUGUUAAUUGAUGAAGCCUGCAUAUUAUGCCAUGUGGUGAUUUCCCCAAUGAAUUCCAAUCAUCUUUCAGAUGGUCUUGCCGCAAUGUUUAUUUGGUCAGCCAGCCGCAAAUGCAUCUGCUGGUGAUGCCAGUCCAUUACCUAACGAAUCUUACAUACCAUGCCAUCGAAAUUUGGCCACUGAAUGAACUCCAUCAGCAUCCGAAGCAUCCUGUGUGGUGCCACCGUUUUUAUCUGUUCAAUGUUUCAAUCUGCUGUGGACCUGGUGUGCUCUACUCACUAUACAUGCUUCCUGUAUUAGGUGCCUCUCACCUUACCUUCCAUGCUUGGUAAGUCACACCGUUGCAAUAUUUUAGCUGGUAAAGUGUUCAUGGUCAAUUGGUGGUGAUACCUGAUAACAUCAUGCUGCAACGUUUAUUCGCUCCAUUCCGUUGACUUCCCAACAGAUGAUUGUGUUACUAUUUGUGACCUUAAUCAGAACUACUGCAGCGAGACACUAUUAUUUCUAUCCAAUCAUGUUGAAACCAUGGAAACCUCUAUAUUGGACACCUGAACAGCUCCUAAGAAGAUCUCACUGCAUGCCGAGUAGAAGCGUGUCACUUGGACCUCGGUUCAGGCAAAGAUUCUGGUCACUGGGAAGUUAACUGUCAACGAUUAAGGUCCUGUUUAGAAUCAACCCAGUUUUUAUCUUUUAGCUAGUAGAGAUUAGCUUCUUGGUUUUUAAAAAAUUAAGAAUCUAAUUUCUAUAAACUGAGUCAUAAACUGAUAUGUUGUGAACCACAUCAAUUUCUAUAAACCAGUUUCUUAAAAACUGAGUGUUUCAAACAUGACCUAACAUUGCAAAACGGGGCCUACGUACUAUUUUCAUGUGUGUCUGCCAUAAUGUUUGGAAAGAGGAAAACAGGAGGGUCAUUGACAGACAGCUAGACCCUGUCGCCCUCUCAGGCAGCUACUACUCUAGCAAAGGACAGAGACCUUAAGAAUCAGGCUUCUAAUGAAUCUAACCUAGGCGGAUGUUAAUAAGAUCGUUGAGUUUCGACUUUUAGCACUGUAGGUAAAGUUGUCAUGCUUCUCUUGUACUAUCUCCGU